UCUGGUUGAUCCUGCCGGAGGCCAUUGCUAUUGGGAUCCGAUUUAGCCAUGCUAGUUGUACGAGUUCAGACUCGUAGCGAAUAGCUCAGUAACACGUGGCCAAACUACCCUUCGGAGCGCGAUAACCUCGGGAAACUGAGGCUAAUAGCGCAUCCCACACUCAGCCUGGAAUGGCGAGUGUGGCAAACGCUCCGGCGCCGAAGGAUGUGGCUGCGGCCGAUUAGGUAGACGGUGGGGUAACGGCCCACCGUGCCGAUAAUCGGUACGGGUCAUGAGAGUGAGAACCCGGAGACGGAAUCUGAGACAAGAUUCCGGGCCCUACGGGGCGCAGCAGGCGCGAAACCUUUACACUGCACGCCAGUGCGAUAAGGGGAUCCCAAGUGCACAGGCAUAGAGCCUGUGCUUUUGUCCACCGUAGGGAGGUGGACGAAUAAGGGCUGGGCAAGACCGGUGCCAGCCGCCGCGGUAAUACCGGCAGCCCGAGUGAUGGCCGAUCUUAUUGGGCCUAAAGCGUCCGUAGCUGGCCGCGCAAGUCCAUCGGGAAAUCUCCCCGCUCAACGGGGAGCCGCCCGGUGGAAACUGCGUGGCUUGGGACCGGAAGGCGCGACGGGUACGUCCGGGGUAGGAGUGAAAUCCCGUAAUCCUGGACGGACCGCCGAUGGCGAAAGCACGUCGCGAGAACGGAUCCGACAGUGAGGGACGAAAGCCAGGGUCUCGAACCGGAUUANAUACCCGGGUAGUCCUGGCCGUAAACGAUGCCUGUUAGGUGUGGCUCCCACUACNAGUGGGUGCUGUGCCGUANGGAANCCGCUAAACAGGCCGCCUGGG
rnacentral:rRNA from 1 species